GCACAGUUUGCGCAUCCGUCCGUAUGCAUGGGCGCAUGCAUGGGUUGGCAAAAUCAAACGGGUGUGUGUAUCUGGUCUGCACGGGGCUGGGCCCAUUGACGGGCUCAAUUGGAGCGCAGCUUGCGACCCUGGACACGCCACACAUCA
rnacentral:snoRNA from 1 species